UACGUAGGGGGCAAGCGUUGUCCGGAAUUAUUGGGCGUAAAGAGCUCGUAGGCGGUUUGUUGCGUCGGCUGUGAAAUCCCGAGGCUCAACCUCGGGUCUGCAGUCGAUACGAGCAAACUAGAGUGUUUGCAGGGGAGACUGGAAUUCCUGGUGUAGCGGUGAAAUGCGCAGAUAUUAGAAGGAAGAACCGUGCCGGUAGGGCG
rnacentral:rRNA from 1 species